CCUACGGGAGGCAGCAGUGAGGAAUAUUGGUCAAUGGACGAGAGUCUGAACCAGCCAAGUAGCGUGAAGGAUGACUGCCCUAUGGGUUGUAAACUUCUUUUAUAUGGGAAUAAAAUGUUCCACGUGUGGCAUUUUGUAUGUACCAUAUGAAUAAGGAUCGGCUAACUCCGUGCCAGCAGCCGCGGUAAUACGGAGGAUCCGAGCGUUAUCCGGAUUUAUUGGGUUUAAAGGGAGCGUAGGUGGAUUGUUAAGUCAGUUGUGAAAGUUUGCGGCUCAACCGUAGAAUUGCAGUUGAAACUGGCAGUCUUGAGUACAGUAGAGGUAGGCGGAAUUCGUGGUGUAGCGGUGAAAUGCUUAGAUAUCACGAAGAACUCCGAUUGCGAAGGCAGCUCACUGGACUGUAACUGACACUGAGGCUCGAAAGUGUGGGUAUCAAACAGGAUUAGAUACCCUGGUAGUC
rnacentral:rRNA from 1 species